UUUCUGACACCUCUUCGAUCAC
rnacentral:siRNA from 1 species